GCCCACUGAUGAGAUUAUGGCAAGUUUUAUGAUCCAGUCAGACCAAGAGACCAUGGUUUCUAGCCUGUUUGGUGGGUAGUCUUGGUAGUAUGGUGAAGAUUUAUUGCACUGCUGUAAGGCCCCACCCACAGUAAACUUGACACCUUCUACAGCCUCUCCCCCCCCAAAAGAAGUGGGAUGGGAUAUGCAGGAGAUUUCAAACAAAGUGUGGAUGUUUGUAUAUUUUUGUGUGUACGUUGUGUGAAUGUAUGUGUCAGCUGGCAAGAGCCAUGGUCUUAUUAUUUGGUUUGGCGGGUAUGAACACAUAUUUGGUAAUCUGAGGGCU